GGCCUAACACAUGCAAGUCGGACGGUAACAGGAGAGAAGCUUGCUUUUCUUGCUGACGAGUGGCGGACGGGUGAGUAACGCGUGGGAAUCUACCCUUUAGUUGGGGACAACAUAUGGAAACGUAUGCUAAUACCGAAUAUGCUCUACGGAGUAAAGGUGCCCUCUCCUUGGAAGGUAUCGCUAAAGGAUGAGCCCGCGUUAGAUUAGCUAGUUGGUAGGGUAAAGGCCUACCAAGGCGACGAUCUAUAGCUGGUUUGAGAGGAUGAUCAGCCACACUGGGACUGAGACACGGCCCAGACUCCUACGGGAGGCAGCAGUGGGGAAUAUUGCACAAUGAGGGAAACCUUGAUGCAGCCAUGCCGCGUGUGUGAAGAAGGCCCGAGGGUUGUAAAGCACUUUCAAUUGUGAGGAAGAUUAAGUAGCUAAUACCUGCUUAGUUUGACGUUAACUUUAGAAGAAGCACCGGCUAACUCUGUGCCAGCAGCCGCGGUAAUACAGAGGGUGCAAGCGUUAUUCGGAAUUACUGGGCGUAAAGCGCGCGUAGGCGGACUGUUAAGUCGGUUGUGAAAGCCCUGGGCUCAACCUAGGAACUGCAUCCGAUACUGGCAAUCUAGAGUUUAAGAGAGGGAAGUGGAAUUCCAGGUGUAGCAGUGAAAUGCGUAGAUAUCUGGAGGAACAUCAGUGGCGAAGGCGACUUCCUGGCUUAAAACUGACGCUGAGGUGCGAAAGCUUGGGUAGCGAACGGGAUUAGAUACCCCGGUAGUCCAAGCCGUAAACGAUGUCAACUAGCUGUUGGUCUUAUUAAAAAGAUUAGUAGCGCAGCUAACGCGAUAAGUUGACCGCCUGGGGAGUAC
rnacentral:rRNA from 1 species